CCCAUUGCCCUUCUCUUGUCUGGUUUUGGUUUCUUUAUCACAGCAACCUUCUUUUGCUUAAUCUACUUUCCUUUACUUUUAAAAGUGAAAAGUCGAAUCCAAAAACCAAAAGAAAAAAGAAAAAUUAUGUUCGGUCAAUUUCGUUCUUUUCCGUGCCUCUUGAUUUCAUUUUUUGACAAUUUCAAUUUCCCAUCACUCGGUUUUACUUAGAAAGGGAAAAAAAGGCAUAUAUACGCAGUUGGCUUUAUAAACAAACAACUUGUGCUCCAGUGUUCUAUAGGCAAAGGAAUCUGGAGAGACAAGGUACAAGUCAACUUGAGAUCAAGUGGAACAACAAUCAAAUCAGAAUCGUAUAUGUUGGCUAUGAGAUGCUAGGAUGCUAUGGGGAACGCUGAUAGAUAGUUAGCCAUUUGGUUAAAGUGGCGCCCCCAGGGUCCUAAACCCUAAAAUCUUUGAUCUAAAGUCUACGAACUUCAGGUUUACAUACGUAUUUGAAUGUAGGAGGAGGUGGAUGCCCUUAUUGGAGCCUGGCCCUGCAGCUCAACCUGGGAAGUGCGGGAAUCAAGGUAGAUUAAUUCAUUUAAUAUAUUUAGUAUGGUCAUUUCG